rnacentral:rRNA from 1 species
GACGUAGGGGCCGAGCGUUGUCCGGAGUUACUGGGCGUAAAGCGCGCGCAGGCGGCGCAUCUGGCCCGGCGUGAAAGCCCCCGGCUCAACCGGGGAGGGUCGUCGGGGACCGGUGCGCUUGAGGGCGGUAGGGGCUGGUGGAAUUCCCGGUGUAGUGGUGAAAUGCGUAGAGAUCGGGAGGAACACCCGUGGCGAAGGCGGCCAGCUGGGCCGACCCUGACGCUGAGGCGCGAAGGCGUGGGGAGCGAACGGG